UCCUACGGGGGGCAGCAGUGGGGAAUAUUGGGCAAUGGACGCAAGUCUGACCCAGCAACGCCGCGUGAAGGAAGAAGGCUUUCGGGUUGUAAACUUCUUUUAAGGGGGAAGAGCAGAAGACGGUACCCCUUGAAUAAGCCACGGCUAACUACGUGCCAGCAGCCGCGGUAAUACGGAGGAUGCGAGCGUUAUCCGGAUUUAUUGGGUUUAAAGGGUGCGCAGGCGGCACGGCAAGCCGGCGGUCAAAUCGCGGGGCUCAACCCCGCCCAGCCGUCGGAACUGCCGGGCUAGAGUGGG
rnacentral:rRNA from 1 species